UACGAAGGGGGCUAGCGUUGUUCGGAGUUACUGGGCGUAAAGGGCGCGUAGGCGGCGCACCAAGUCAGGCGUGAAAGCCCUGGGCUCAACCCGGGAAUUGCGCUUGAGACUGGUGUGCUUGGGUACGGGAGAGGAUAGUGGAAUUCCCAGUGUAGAGGUGAAAUUCGUAGAUAUCAGGAGGAACACCAAUGGCGAAGGCAGCUCGCUGGAACGGUACUGACGCUGAGGCGCGAAAGCGUGGGGAGCGAACAGG
rnacentral:rRNA from 1 species